rnacentral:tRNA from 2 species
GGCCCGGUAGUUCAGUUGGUUAGAACGCCGCCCUGUCACGGCGGAGGUCGAGAGUUCGAGUCUCUUCCGGGUCGCCA